rnacentral:rRNA from 1 species
UCUGGUUGAUCCUGCCAGUAGUCAUAUGCUUGUCUCAAAGAUUAAGCCAUGCAUGUCUAAGUACAAACCUUAAUACGGUGAAACCGCGAAUGGCUCAUUAAAUCAGCUAUGGUUCCUUAGAUCGUCUCAUCCUACUCGGAUAACUGUGGAAAAUCUAGAGCUAAUACGUGCUUACAAGCCCUGACCUCACGGGAGGGGCGCAUUUAUUAGAUCAAAACCAAUCGGGGCUUGCCCCGUCUGCUUGGUGACUCUGGAUAACUUUUGUGCUGAUCGCAUGGCCUCUGCGCUGGCGACGUAUCUUUCAAGUGUCUGCCCUAUCAACUUACGAUGGUAGGUGAUAUGCCUACCAUGGUUAUAACGGGUAACGGGGAAUCAGGGUUCGAUUCCGGAGAGGGAGCCUGAGAAACGGCUACCACAUCUAAGGAAGGCAGCAGGCGCGCAAAUUACCCACUCCCGGCACGGGGAGGUAGUGACGAAAAAUAACGAUACGGGACUCUUUUGAGGCCCCGUAAUUGGAAUGAGUACACUUUAAAUCCGUUAACAAGUAUCUAUUGGAGGGCAAGUCUGGUGCCAGCAGCCGCGGUAAUUCCAGCUCCAAUAGCGUAUAUUAAUGUUGCUGCAGUUAAAAAGCUCGUAGUUGGAUCUGAGGACUCGAAUUGGUGGUGCACCAUACGGUGUUACUGCCGAUUCGGCCUACCUAGUCGGUGCUCGCUCUUGGUGUUCUUAAUUGAAUGCCCUGAGUGCCCGGCAAGUUUACUUUGAAAAAAUUAGAGUGCUCAAAGCAGGCCAUUAGCCGGAAUACUUCAGCAUGGAAUAAUGGAAUAGGACUUCGGUUCUAUUUUGUUGGUUUUCGGAACCCGAGGUAAUGAUUAAGAGAGACAGACGGGGGCAUUCGUACUGCGGUGUUAGAGGUGAAAUUCUUGGAUCGCCGCAAGACGAACAACUGCGAAAGCAUUUGCCAAGAAUGUUUUCAUUAAUCAAGAACGAAAGUCAGAGGUUCGAAGACGAUCCAGAUACCGUCCUAGUUCUGACCAUAAACGAUGCCAACUGGCGAUCCGAGAUCGUUUGCUUAUUGACCUCUCGGGCAGCCUCCGGGAAACCAAAGUUUUUAGGUUCCGGGGGAAGUAUGGUUGCAAAGCUGGAACUGUUCAAUUGCAACUCUGCCUGUGACACCAAGUGGUCGGGUUACUUGGUCUGUUCUGGCCCGGAGUCGGUAGGGUUUCCGGCCUUGUGCUCUUUCCUUACUGUUCUCUGUAACGCCGAAGGGGGGCUUCCACGGUGGGGAAGCGGUUGUACAAAUCCGGCAAAUCCAGCCAAAUGGGUUCCGGACUCUGUCCAACCUGCAACUGGUAACAGCCUCGGCUGGCUAACAUUUGAGCUGGGACUCGCUUGGGAGGAGCGAGGAUAAUAUAAACCUCUAUGUGACUGAGGUGAGGAAUCUGGUUCUCGUAAAAUGGCUGGAGAUCCCGAGCCUGUAAGUCAUAAAUUAGUUCCCCACGAGGGAGGUGUCGAAUUGAAGCCAGUGCGUGCCCUUACUAGUUUAAGGGAUUGUAUACUUCCUUUGGUGUACCCACCUGGAAGUGCCCAAGGGGUCCUAUCCCUGCACUCCAUCCCCGAUUGGAGUCAGGUGACGGCUCCUUA